rnacentral:rRNA from 1 species
UGGGGAAUAUUGGACAAUGGGCGAAAGCCUGAUCCAGCCAUGCCGCGUGUGUGAAGAAGGUCUUCGGAUUGUAAAGCACUUUAAGUUGGGAGGAAGGGCAGUAAGCGAAUACCUUGCUGUUUUGACGUUACCGACAGAAUAAGCACCGGCUAACUCUGUGCCAGCAGCCGCGGUAACACAGAGGGUGCAAGCGUUAAUCGGAAUUACUGGGCGUAAAGCGCGCGUAGGUGGUUCGUUAAGUUGAAUGUGAAAGCCCCGGGCUCAACCUGGGAACUGCAUCCAAAACUGGCGAGCUAGAGUAGGGCAGAGGGUGGUGGAAUUUCCUGUGUAGCGGUGAAAUGCGUAGAUAUAGGAAGGAACACCAGUGGCGAAGGCGACCACCUGGGCUCAUACUGACACUGAGGUGCGAAAGCGUGGGGAGCAAACAGG